rnacentral:lncRNA from 1 species
GCCUUUUCAGAUUUACAUGACAGGUUUAUUUCAUUAUCCAGAGGUAAGUCAAGGUGCAUCUUGUCCUCAAAGUCAAUUAAUAUUUACUGAGCCACCACUGACUGCCAGGCAUGGUUGAAAGGGGUGUUCACAUUCCCUUUCCUGUGGGUCUCAGGCCUCCCCCCAGAUGACCCAGAAUCAUCAGGAUAUGAUGCUUUAAGGACGGAGUUGAAGUGGAGAUGUGUGACAACAAACCUGAUCCAUGUUCUCUGUAUCGGCUUAGGGAACAGUAUUCAACCCCUUGUGCCUGUCUUGGGCUGGGAGCCAGAGCCAGCCAAGGAGUCUGGCUGUUGGGCUCUUAGCUUCUUUAAGGAACAAAUCAGGUCCUGAGAACCUAGCUUGAUUGACCACAGUGUCUGACACAAAGUAGAAACUUAUAAACUGAUGGCUGUGUUUAUAACUUUUAAAAAGGAAUGGCAGAAAAAGGUGGCUGAGAGACCAAGUUUCCCUUUGGGGCCUGUUCUGAGAGAGAGGGGGAUAAUGGAAGCAGAUGCUACAGGUGUCGCAACCUUUAGGAGCACCCACAUAAACAUCAUAUAAGAAAAAAUGAGACAAGUGUCUCCCUACGUUCACCUAGGCCCCUUAUGGAAGAGGAAGAAGGGAGUGGCUGACUCUGGAGGAAUUCAACCAAAGCAAGUGUAAAUGGAUUGUCAUUUGGGCUGUAGUUUGACUGAUAAGGAAAGAAAACCUGACCUGGGCAAGGAGCAUGGGCCUGUGUGGUCCCCUCCUAGGCCAGAGCACUUUCCCUCCUUCCCUCGCACCUGUUCCUACACACACACAUCCCUGAAUGCCACCCCACUCCUACCCAGAAGACUAUUGACUCUGCCUCCUUUUCCUGGAGGUGUUUCUAGGGCUUCAGCCUGAGAACCCAUUCUGAGUUUGUUCCAUCUGUACAAUACCAGAGGCUGUGUGGGAAGGGAUCUCCCCAAUUACCUUAAAUGACUUUGAUAGGGAAAAUGGAAUGAGGAAUGGGGCAGAAACUGACAGACAGCCAGCUCCUGCCAGCCCUGGUGGACCUGAGAUUCAGAGGCCCUGCGCCCCCUACUGGUCCCUCUUUUGUCUUCCUCUCCAGGAGGCUUCCGGAGCCUUCCUUCUCGCCCCAGAGACCUGCUUCACUCUUUUUAAUCCUUUGCCUUUGGAACUAGCCUGGAGUUGCUCCCUCCUCAUACCAUGACCUGGGCUUUCUCCUUCCUGACAAAAACCUAACCCAGUCCUUUGAAGAAGCUGGGGACACCUGCACUGGCAUUGCUUAGGUAUCAGUGCCACCUGAGGAAAACUUGACCUGGGCAAGGAGCAUGGGCCUGUGUGGUCCCCUCCUAGGCCAGAAGUCUUUUCCCUCCUUCCCUGGCACCUGUUCCUGCACACACAGCCUCACUUCCUUUCCCCACCUCAGCCUGCACUCAGGUCUGCCAGGUCGGUGCUGCUGCUGCCUCCCAGAGCAGCUUCCAACCUCCAGUUCUUCCUCUUCCCCUCUCCCACUGAAGAAACAUAUCCUUACAGGGCCCCUGGGGUCCACCAGCCUUGCUCUUCCACACUAGCCCUCCAUUGCACUCCAGACUUGGCCAAGAAUACUCUCCUUUUCUCUUUCCAAAUCUUAUCCACUUAGCAAGUUCUGAUAGCUCCAGAGUUUACAACCCAUCCCAUCCCAUCCCCAGUGUGCCCUCCCCUGAGGCUCCUGCUGCCAGGCCACUAGCUGUGCC